CUAGCAGUGAGGAAGGUGGGUAGUGUUAAUAGCAUACUCAUUUGACGUUAGUCUGCAGAAGAAGACACCGGCUAACUACCGUGCCAGCAGCCGCGGUAAUACGGAGGGUGCGAGCGUUAAUCGGAAUUACUGGGCGUAAAGCGCAUGCAGGUGGUUUGUUAAGUCAGAUGUGAAAGCCCGGGGCUCAACCUCGGAAUUGCAUUUGAAACUGGCAAACUAGAGUACUGUAGAGGGGGUAGAAUUUCAGGUGUAGCGGUGAAAUGCGUAGAGAUCUGAAGGAAUACCGGUGGCGAAGGCGGCCCCCUGGACAGAUACUGACACUCAGAUGCGAAAGCGUGGGGAGCAAACAGGAUUAGAUACCCUGGUAG
rnacentral:rRNA from 1 species